UGCCCACUAAGUGCAAGAGGUCCAAUAGUAGAGUUUAAGCAAGAAACCAUAGAGGAACAGUGAUGAGCUUCAGACCUUCCAGACGCAAACUCACAGGCAUAGUGUGUCCCUCAAGACAGCACCUGCAAGGUCUUUUAAAAUGCAUGUAGAGAUCUCACACAAUACUGUCAAGAUCCCCAGACUGGGAUUCAGGAAACAGUCUCUGAUUUUCAUUUGGAGGAAGCAGAAGAGCCUGUGCCCACAUCUCACUACUACCCAGGUUCAAAGUUCUUUUUUCUCUGAUGCACUCAGGAAAAUUAGUUUAGGCACCAGGACACCCUGAAUGUUUAGCCUCUUGAACUCGGGAAAGCUUGGAUUGACACUAUGGGGUCAAGAGGGUCAGCAGAGAACUGGCAGUAAUGACUACCUGUUGUUCAAAUUUUUCUUGGUGUAAUUGGCUAUGAUUGUACUCAGCUCAAUUCGCUCAUAAUUUUUACUCCGUAGCUUAAAGGAGAGUUCCUCCAACUUCUCCAUCUGCUGGUCCUGCUCAGUGAAGGUGGCCAGUUGGGAUGGUGCCUCCACAGUAGUCCCUGCAGGUAGAUAAAGACAAGUGAACUAGAAUCCUUGAAUGACAUAGGGCCAGGGGAGUCUAUUCUGGGUACCAAGAAGAAGCCCAAGGAAGAUGAAUUGCUAAGGACGCAGUGAAGGUCCUAGAGAACAGGGCAGCUAUUCUCACACUGGUAUCCAUGAGCUGACUUCAAACACCAUGCUUAGUCAUGUGCCUCAUUUCCUGAUUUAGUCCCCUGUCCAAGAAGGCAUAAGCUGCCCCACUCAUGAAGAUUUGGUGGACAGUGUCACCUCAUAUCUGAUGUUAUGCAGGUUUCCAACAGAAAGAGUGGUACAGAUUACAUCUGGAUUAAAGAUCUGAAUGAAAGAGACUUCUCCCACAACAGAGCUGCAGACUUCUUGGUGUUCAGCCAUGCUCCUGAUGCUCCUCCCAGUGCUGGGGCUGCACAUUUUCCUGAGAGACUCAAGAGCACAGUCAGUGACUCAGCCUCAAGCUCGCAUCACAAUCACUGAAGAAGCCUCUCUGCAGCUGAGAUGCAACUAUUCCUCCAGUGUAGUGCCCUACCUGUUCUGGUAUGUCCAGUACCCACGGCAGGGGCUCCAGCUGCUCCUCAAGUAUUAUUCAGGAGAACCCGUGGUUCAUGGCUUGAGCGGCUUUGAGGCUGAGGUUAGCAAGAGUGACUCUUCCUUCCACCUGAAGAAAGCAUCUGUGCACCUGAGCGAUUCGGCUGUGUAUUUCUGUGCUCUGAGUGCACAGUGUCUGGGUCUGCAGGGAGAGCUGAACAUAAACACCCAUGGCAGUGAAGUGCUCAACUAAAGGUCUCUUCUUGGGUCAUUAAAGGAUCUCUUUCAGCUGCCUUUGGACAACUCUGUUCUUGCAACAAUAUCCACUGUCUGAUUUUGUCUCAGAAGCUCUUUGCUUAUUUCUGAAAUUAUGUGAUGCUCAAUCAUAGUUCCACAGAGUGGAGGAGACUGCUAUUAUCUGUGAGAAUCAUUUCCAGGGUGAACAUUGCUUAGACUACAACCACAUUGACUGAUUGUGUGCAGGGAAGCUGUCUUCCAUUUGUUGUUUUAUGUGUUGUCUGCACAGAAUUGAAAGUGUACUCUUCAGGCAUUGGUCUGAGCUUUGCCUUCGCUACUGAGUCCUUCAUACUGACUUUCAUGUAAUUCUUCUUUGGGUGUCAAAUGUACUGAUCAGAAUUGGUCAUAAUUUUUAAUUAUUUCCAUCUAGGAAAGAAAUUGAUACAUUGUUAGUCAAUAUAGCAAUCCACCAGAAUCCUGGAAGCUUAGAAAUCUGAAAUAUUUGUGUAAGUUAUAGCAACCACUAAAAUUAAAACAGGAGAAGAAGGAAUUGGAAAUUGUUGAUGUUUUUUUAAAGAAAUCUCCACAGUUAUAAAAAUACUGCUUUACUUUUGGUCACACAUUUUUACAAAUCAACUUGAGCAUUUGUGGUAUGAUUUCUUCAGCAUCUUAUAUUUCUAAAUGUUGUUUUCACCCUAGUUCAUAUGAUUUUACUACUGGAACAUCAAAGAUAAAUUCUUUUAUCCUAACAUAGCAGUGCCCUAGUGAAAACACAGGCAAGAGUUGUAGUUGACAUUAGGGCAACCUGGCUCCAUUAUGGAAUUUUAAUUCCUCCUCCCUGAAUUUGGGAGAGUUGUAGAAGAUUUUAUGCUUCUGUUCUUACAGCCUAGGAGGAUGAAAAUACUCAGGAUAAAAGGAGAAGAGAGAAUUUUUCUAGCUGAUGCUUGCUGAAACACAGGAAAUGGGCAGGUGACAUGGAGCCAUGAGCACCUGAGUAUGAUUUUCACAUAAAAGGCUGUGUGUGGUGGCUGUGCUGGGGUGUGAGCACAGACAGAUCCCUAGAGCCCACUACUCAGCCAGCCUAGGCAGACCAUGGAUCCAUUUAUCAGAGAGUGCUUGUAUCCAAUAAAUAAGUUGGACAGAUCCCUAAUAAUGACAUCCAAGGUUGACCUCUGCCCUCCACAUUCAUGGACACACAUUUUCAGUCAAACACACAUAUGUGCUCGAGCACGCAUGAGCACACC